AGAGUUUGAUCCUGGCUCAGGAUGAACGCUAGCGGCGGGCCUAAUACAUGCAAGUCGAGGGGCAGCACAGGUAGCAAUACUGGGUGGCGACCGGCGGACGGGUGCGUAACACGUAUGCAACUUACCCUAUACUUGGGCAUAGCCCGGAGAAAUCCGGAUUAAUAUCCAAUAUGAUGCAGGAAAGCAUUUUCUUGCGUUGAAAGCUCCGGCGGUAUAGGAUGGGCAUGCGGCCGAUUAGCUUGUUGGUGAGGUAAUAGCUCACCAAGGCAACGAUCGGUAGGGGGCCUGAGAGGGUGAUCCCCCACACUGGUACUGAGACAUGGACCAGACUCCUACGGGAGGCAGCAGUAAGGAAUAUUGGUCAAUGGGCGCAAGCCUGAACCAGCCACGCCGCGUGAAGGAUGAAGGCCCUAUGGGUUGUAAACUUCUUUUCUACGGGAAUAAAUCUCAUUACGUGUGCUGAGUUGAAGGUACCGUAGGAAUAAGCAUCGGCUAACUCCGUGCCAGCAGCCGCGGUAAUACGGAGGAUGCAAGCGUUAUCCGGAUUCAUUGGGUUUAAAGGGUGCGUAGGCGGGAUGAUAAGUCAGGGGUGAAAGCCAACAGCUUAACUGUUGAAUUGCCUUUGAUACUGUCAUUCUUGAGUAUGUUUAAAGUGGGCGGAAUGUGACAUGUAGCGGUGAAAUGCGUAGAGAUGUCACAGAACACCGAUUGCGAAGGCAGCUCACUGAGCCAUUACUGACGCUGAGGCACGAAAGCGUGGGGAUCAAACAGGAUUAGAUACCCUGGUAGUCCACGCCCUAAACGAUGCCAACUGGACGUUGGUCUCAACUUGGAGAUCAGUGUCGAAGCUAACGCGUUAAGUUGGCCGCCUGGGGAGUACGGUCGCAAGACUGAAACUCAAAGGAAUUGACGGGGGCCCGCAUAAGCGGUGGAGUAUGUGGUUUAAUUCGAUACAACGCGAAAAACCUUACCUACCCUUGACAUGCCCGGAACCCUGGUGAGAGCUGGGGGUGCCCGAAAGGGAAUCGGGACACAGGUGCUGCAUGGCUGUCGUCAGCUCGUGUCGUGAGAUGUUGGGUUAAGUCCCGCAACGAGCGCAACCCUUGUCAUUAAUUGCCAUCAUUUGGUUGGGCACUUUAAUGAGACUGCCGGUGACAAACCGGAGGAAGGUGGGGAUGACGUCAAGUCCUCAUGGCCCUUAUGGGUAGGGCUUCACACGUCAUACAAUGGUCGGUACAGAGGGUUGCCAAGCCGCGAGGUGGAGCCAAUCCCAGAAAGCCGAUCGUAGUCCGGAUCGGAGUCUGCAACUCGACUCCGUGAAGUCGGAAUCGCUAGUAAUCGCGGAUCAGCAUGCCGCGGUGAAUACGUUCCCGGGUCUUGUACACACCGCCCGUCACACCAUGGGAGCGGGUUCUACCAGAAGCAGUUAGCCUAACCGCGAGGGGGGCGAUUGCCACGGUAGGAUUCGUGACUGGGGUGAAGUCGUAACAAGGUAACC
rnacentral:rRNA from 1 species